GCGUUUUUCCCGAUUUGCUCCCUCUGUUUCUCACAGUUUCUGCCGAUUUGCUCAGUUUCUGCCGGUUUGCGUCUUCUGUUUCUUUUCUUUUUCUUUACAACAUUACGGUUGGCCUUCUCAACCAGUCAACCUUUUCUUUUCUUUUCUCUCUGUCACUCUUUCGAUUGCUCUCAGUUGGUGGGUUUCUAAGUUACUGCAACUGAAAGGUAAAUGUUUCUAACUCUCUUUUUCUCUCUGUAAUGAGUUUCAUUGGCUGCCUUGUUAGGGCAUGGUUUAUUCAGAGGUAACAGAGG
rnacentral:lncRNA from 1 species